rnacentral:rRNA from 1 species
UACAGAGGGUGCGAGCGUUAAUCGGAAUUACUGGGCGUAAAGCGCGCGUAGACGGUUUUGUAAGUCAGAUGUGAAAUCCCUGGGCUCAACCUGGGAACUGCAUUUGAUACUGCAUGGCUAGAGUAUCGAAGAGGGAAGUGGAAUUUCCGGUGUAGCGGUGAAAUGCGUAGAUAUCAGGAGGAACACCUGUGGUGUAGACAGCUUACUGGACCAUGACUGACGCUGAGACACGAAAGCGUGGGUAGCAAACAG